rnacentral:rRNA from 1 species
UACGUAGGGUGCAAGCGUUGUCCGGAAUUAUUGGGCGUAAAGAGCUUGUAGGCGGUUUGUCGCGUCUGCUGUGAAAUUUCGGGGCUCAACCCCGAACUUGCAGUGGGUACGGGCAGGCUAGAGUUCGGUAGGGGAGACUGGAAUUCCUGGUGUAGCGGUGAAAUGCGCAGAUAUCAGGAGGAACACCGGUGGCGAAGGCGGGUCUCUGGGCCGAUACUGACGCUGGGGAGCGAAAGCGUGGGGAGCGAACAGG